rnacentral:tRNA from 1 species
GGGGCCGUGGGGUAGAUUGGUCCAUCCUUCGGGCUUUGGGAGCCUGAGACUCCGAUUCAAAUUCGGACGGCCCCACCA